UCAUGUGAAUGUAGGUGUGAUAAUGUGUGUCACACCUUUGCUUUCUCAACUUGAUUAAUUUGUUUUCCAUGCCAAAUGAAUUCCAAUUGAUGUGAUUUUUUAUAUGAUGCUUGCUGUGGAAGUUAUGAUUAAUCAUGAAUUGUCUUGGAAUUUUUGGAUUGAUUUCUGAUUUGAUUGAGAUUUUUCUUUCUGGAUGGUCAUUUGUGAACUUUUGAUGUGUCUUGAAUUUCAUGUGUUUGUG
rnacentral:lncRNA from 1 species